rnacentral:rRNA from 1 species
GGGAUAUUGCACAAUGGGCGAAAGCCUGAUGCAGCGACGCCGCGUGAGGGAAGACGGUCUUCGGAUUGUAAACCUCUGUCUUUGGGGAAGAAAUCAGACGGUACCCAAAGAGGAAGCUCCGGCUAACUACGUGCCAGCAGCCGCGGUAAUACGUAGGGAGCGAGCGUUGUCCGGAAUUACUGGGUGUAAAGGGAGCGUAGGCGGGCUUGUGAGUUGAAUGUCUAAUCCACCGGCUCAACCGGUGAUCGCGUUCAAAACUGCAGGUCUUGAGUGAAGUAGAGGCAGGCGGAAUUCCUAGUGUAGCGGUGAAAUGCGUAGAUAUUAGGAGGAACACCAGUGGCGAAGGCGGCCUGCUGGGCUUUAACUGACGCUGAGGCUCGAAAGCGUGGGGAGCAAACAGG